UUUUAAGUAAAAUUUGCUCAAUGACCUAAAUAGCCGCAGUAUACCUGUGCUAAGGUAGCAUAAUCAUUUGCCUUUUAAUUAAAGGCUUGAAUGAAAGAUUUAACAUUUCAAUUUCUAUUUUAAAAUUUUAAGUAACAAUUAUAUUAAGUGUAAAAAUACCCUUAUAAAAAAAAAAGACGACAAGACCCUAUUGAACUUAACUUUUGUUUGGCUGGGGCAGCCAAAUAAAUAUUAUUUUAUUUAUAUGUAUAUAAUAAACAAAUGACCCUAUACAAUAGACUGCUUGAUCAAGUUACCAUAGGGAUAACAGCAUAAUUUUUCUUUUAGCUCUUAUUAAAAGAAGAGAUUAUGACCUCGAUGUUGAAUUAUUUACCUUACUAGCGCAAGAGCUAACCAAGGGGGUCUGUUCGACCCUUAAAUUUUUACA
rnacentral:rRNA from 1 species